rnacentral:misc_RNA from 1 species
GAUGAAGAACGUAGCGAAAUGCGAUACUUGGUGUGAAUUGCAGAAUCCCGUGAACCAUCGAGUCUUUGAACGCAAGUUGCGCCCGAAGCCAUUAGGCCGAGGGCACGCCUGCCUGGGCGUCACACGUCGUUGCCCCCCCCAUCUACUCCUUCGGGAUUGCGGGGGGCGGAUGAUGGCCUCCCGUGCGCCUCGCCGCGCGGUUGGCAUAAAUGCCAAGUCCUCGGCGAUGCACGCCACGACAAUCGGUGGUUGCGAAACCUCGGUUGCCCGUCGUGUGCGGUCGUCGCGCAUCGAGGGCUCGAAAAAAUUGCCGGGUUCCGGCUCGGCUUUCAACGCGACCCCAGGUCAGGCGGGGUUACCCGCUGAAUUUAAGCAUAUCAAUAAGCGGAGA